rnacentral:rRNA from 1 species
AUUGAACGCUGGCGGAAUGCUUUACACAUGCAAGUCGAGCGGCAGCGCGGCCUUCGGGCUGGCGGCGAGCGGCGAACGGGUGAGUAAUGCAUCGGAACAUGCCCAGUCGUGGGGGAUAACACUUCGAAAGAAGUGCUAAUACCGCAUACGUCCUGAGGGGGAAAGCGGGGGAUCGCAAGACCUCGCGCGAUUGGAGUGGCCGAUGUCAGAUUAGCUAGUUGGUGGGGUAAAGGCCUACCAAGGCGACGAUCUGUAGCUGGUCUGAGAGGAUGAGCAGCCACACUGGGACUGAGACACGGCCCAGACUCCUACGGGAGGCAGCAGUGGGGAAUUUUGGACAAUGGGGGCAACCCUGAUCCAGCCAUUCCGCGUGAGUGAAGAAGGCCUUCGGGUUGUAAAGCUCUUUCGGCAGGAACGAAACGGUGGGCUCUAACAUAGUCCGCUAAUGACGGUACCUGAAGAAGAAGCACCGGCUAACUACGUG